rnacentral:rRNA from 1 species
GGGUUGUGAGGUUAAGCGACUAAGCGUACACGGUGGAUGCCCUGGCAGUCAGAGGCGAUGAAGGACGUGCUAAUCUGCGAUAAGCGUCGGUGAGGUGAUAUGAACCGUUAUAACCGGCGAUUUCCGAAUGGGGAAACCCAGUGUGUUUCGACACACUAUCAUUAACUGAAUCCAUAGGUUAAUGAGGCGAACCGGGGGAACUGAAACAUCUAAGUACCCCGAGGAAAAGAAAUCAACCGAGAUUCCCCCAGUAGCGGCGAGCGAACGGGGAGGAGCCCAGAGCCUGAAUCAGUGUGUGUGUUAGUGGAAGCGUCUGGAAAGGCGCGCGAUACAGGGUGACAGCCCCGUACACAAAAAUGCACAUAUUGUGAGCUCGAUGAGUAGGGCGGGACACGUGGUAUCCUGUCUGAAUAUGGGGGGACCAUCCUCCAAGGCUAAAUACUCCUGACUGACCGAUAGUGAACCAGUACCGUGAGGGAAAGGCGAAAAGAACCCCGGCGAGGGGAGUGAAAAAGAACCUGAAACCGUGUACGUACAAGCAGUGGGAGCCUCUUAAUGGGGUGACUGCGUACCUUUUGUAUAAUGGGUCAGCGACUUAUAUUCUGUAGCAAGGUUAACCGAAUAGGGGAGCCGAAGGGAAACCGAGUCUUAACUGGGCGUUAAGUUGCAGGGUAUAGACCCGAAACCCGGUGAUCUAGCCAUGGGCAGGUUGAAGGUUGGGUAACACUAACUGGAGGACCGAACCGACUAAUGUUGAAAAAUUAGCGGAUGACUUGUGGCUGGGGGUGAAAGGCCAAUCAAACCGGGAGAUAGCUGGUUCUCCCCGAAAGCUAUUUAGGUAGCGCCUCGUGAAUUCAUCUCCGGGGGUAGAGCACUGUUUCGGCAAGGGGGUCAUCCCGACUUACCAACCCGAUGCAAACUGCGAAUACCGGAGAAUGUUAUCACGGGAGACACACGGCGGGUGCUAACGUCCGUCGUGAAGAGGGAAACAACCCAGACCGCCAGCUAAGGUCCCAAAGUCAUGGUUAAGUGGGAAACGAUGUGGGAAGGCCCAGACAGCCAGGAUGUUGGCUUAGAAGCAGCCAUCAUUUAAAGAAAGCGUAAUAGCUCACUGGUCGAGUCGGCCUGCGCGGAAGAUGUAACGGGGCUAAACCAUGCACCGAAGCUGCGGCAGCGACGCUUAUGCGUUGUUGGGUAGGGGAGCGUUCUGUAAGCCUGUGAAGGUGGCCUGUGAGGGUUGCUGGAGGUAUCAGAAGUGCGAAUGCUGACAUAAGUAACGAUAAAGCGGGUGAAAAGCCCGCUCGCCGGAAGACCAAGGGUUCCUGUCCAACGUUAAUCGGGGCAGGGUGAGUCGACCCCUAAGGCGAGGCCGAAAGGCGUAGUCGAUGGGAAACAGGUUAAUAUUCCUGUACUUGGUGUUACUGCGAAGGGGGGACGGAGAAGGCUAUGUUGGCCGGGCGACGGUUGUCCCGGUUUAAGCGUGUAGGCUGGUUUUCCAGGCAAAUCCGGAAAACCAAGGCUGAGGCGUGAUGACGAGGCACUACGGUGCUGAAGCGACAAAUGCCCUGCUUCCAGGAAAAGCCUCUAAGCAUCAGGUAACAUCAAAUCGUACCCCAAACCGACACAGGUGGUCAGGUAGAGAAUACCAAGGCGCUUGAGAGAACUCGGGUGAAGGAACUAGGCAAAAUGGUGCCGUAACUUCGGGAGAAGGCACGCUGAUAUGUAGGUGAAGCGACU